UACGGAGGGGGCUAGCGUUGUUCGGAAUUACUGGGCGUAAAGCGCACGUAGGCGGCUUUGUAAGUUAGAGGUGAAAGCCCAGGGCUCAACCCUGGAAUUGCCUUUAAGACUGCAUCGCUUGAACAUCGGAGAGGUAAGUGGAAUUCCUGGUGUAGCGGUGAAAUGCGCAGAUAUCAGGAAGAACACCCGUGGCGAAGGCGGCUCUCUGGGACGGUACUGACGCUGAGACGCGAAAGCGUGGGGAGCGAACAGG
rnacentral:rRNA from 1 species